GUGAAUCAUCGAAUCUUUGAACGCAUAUUGCCACUCUUCGGUCUUCCGGAGAGUAUGCCUGUUUGAGGGUCGGUAAAAUGAAAUAUCGAUUUGUUGCUUAUUUGCAACAUUUCGGAGUUGGGUUAACUUGAUAUUCAAGUGACCUAAAAUUCAUUACUUCGGUACGAUUAACGUUCUUAAUGAUUUCGUUUUGAGUGCUGAAUUUUUUAUUAGACGUGACUAUUUAACAUAGCAUCACUUCUAUAAUUUUGAAUUUCGACCUCAAAUCAGGUAAGAAUACCCGCUGAACUUAAGCAUAUC
rnacentral:misc_RNA from 1 species